UACGGAGGGUGCAAGCGUUGUCCGGAUUUAUUGGGUUUAAAGGGUGCGUAGGCGGCUAAUUAAGUCAGCGGUGAAAUUCCACAGCUCAACUGUGGAACUGCCAUUGAUACUGGUUGGCUUGAGUAUAGUUGCCGUUGGCGGAAUAUGACAUGUAGUGGUGAAAUACAUAGAGAUGUCAUAGAACACCGAUUGCGAAGGCAGCUGACGAAACUAUAACUGACACUGAGGCUCGAAAGUGCGGGGAUCAAACAGG
rnacentral:rRNA from 1 species